rnacentral:rRNA from 1 species
UGCGUAGGCGGAUAGGAAAGUUAGAUGUGAAAUUCCAGUACUCAAUACUGGAGCUGCAUUUAAAACUCCCUUUCUCGAGGAUAGACGGAGAGAACGGAAUUCCAUGUGUAGCGGUGAAAUGCGUAGGUAUAUGGAAGAACACCUGUGGCGUAAGCGGUUCUCUAGUUUAUUUCUGACGCUGAGGCACGAGAGUGUGGGGAGCAAACA